AUUGAACGCUGGCGGCGGGCCUAACACAUGCAAGUCGAACGGUAGCACAGAGAGCUUGCUCUCGGGUGACGAGUGGCGGACGGGUGAGCAACGUCUGGGAAACUGCCCGAUGGAGGGGGAUAACUACUGGAAACGGUAGCUAAUACCGCAUAACGUCGCAAGACCAAAGUGGGGGACCUUCGGGCCUCACACCAUCGGAUGUGCCCAGAUGGGAUUAGCUAGUAGGUGGGGUAAUGGCUCACCUAGGCGACGAUCCCUAGCUGGUCUGAGAGGAUGACCAGCCACACUGGAACUGAGACACGGUCCAGACUCCUACGGGAGGCAGCAGUGGGGAAUAUUGCACAAUGGGCGAAAGCCUGAUGCAGCCAUGCCGCGUGUAUGAAGAAGGCCUUCGGGUUGUAAAGUACUUUCAGCGGGGAGGAAGGCGGUGAAGUUAAUAACCUUGCCGAUUGACGUUACCCGCAGAAGAAGCACCGGCUAACUCCGUGCCAGCCGCCGCCGUAA
rnacentral:rRNA from 1 species